rnacentral:lncRNA from 10 species
GGAAGAGAAAUGAGACUUACUUUGAGUUGGUUCCAAGGGUGGGAAUUAGGACGGAUAGAAAAAGAAAAAAAGAGAGAGAGAAUCAGCUUUGAUACAGGAAGGAACUUUCUAGCAAUUAGAACUGUCCAACAGUGAACUUCCCCCAGGAGUUUUUAAACUGUGUUCUGAUGAAACCUAGCAUUCUGUGAAUAUUCAAGAGAGUCAAAUAUUUGCCCCCACCCAGCCAUCCCUUAUUUGCUUUAUAUUUUGAAAACUAUAUGCAAUAUUGUAACUUCAGAAACCCAACCAGGUAAGGCACGGUGGCUCACUGUAAUCCCAGUGCUUUGGGAAGCUGAGGUGAGAAGAUCACUUGAGGCUAGGAUUUCGAGACCAUCCUGGGCAGCAUAGAUUCUAGGUCCAUGCCAUCCUGUCAUGGACAGUUAUACAGGUGGACCAGUGAGGCACACCUGGGCAGUGCUCUGUUCACAUCUGUCCUGCACCUGCUCUCAUCCUGCCUUCACAGGUGCUUAGGAGAACAUGCAGUAGAACUUUUCAUCAAACAAAUGGAACACGUCACAGAAUUUUGCUAACAUGGACAACUCUGCACAGAAAAAUGAACGCACUGGCAAACAUCCCAGACGUGCCAGUGAAGUACAGAAAGGUUUUACUGCUGCAUAUCCAACACAAUCCUCCAUUCCUUUUAAAUCUCAAGCUUCAGUAAUCCCAGAAUCAGAAAAAAAAGGAUUCAAUAGUCAAGCCAAGAGAUUUCCUCAUAAGAA